rnacentral:rRNA from 1 species
GAUGAGACAUACAAGUCGCACGAUAUGGGGGCAACUCCAUAUAGUGGCGCAAGGGUUAGUAAUACAUGGAUAAUCUGCCUCUGACACUGGAAUAACGUCUGGAAACGGACGCUAAUACCAAAUGAAGUUUCGCAAGGCAUCUUGCGAGGAUUAGAGCGGGGGACCGAAAGGCCUCGUGGUGAGAGAAGAGUCCAUGAGAUAUCAGCUAGUUGGUGAGGUAAGAGCUCACCAAGGCUAAGACGUCUAGGCGGAUUGAGAGAUUGACCGCCAACACUGGGACUGAGACACUGCCCAGACUCCUACGGGAGGCAGUAGUCGAGAAUCUUUCGCAAUGGGCGAAAGCCUGACGAAGCGACGCCGUGUGAGCGAUGAAGGCCUUCGGGUUGUAAAGCUCUUUUGUAAGGGAAUAAGGCUUUUUGGUUAAUGACCAGAAAGAUUGACUGUACCUUAAGAAUAAGCACCGGCUAACUCCGUGCCAGCAGCUGCGGUAAUACGGAGGGUGCAAGCAUUGAUCGGAUUGACUGGGCGUAAAGGGCGCGUAGGCUGUAUGAUAAGUUAGAUGUGAAAUUCCGGGGCUCAACUCCGGAGCUGCAUCUAAAACUGUCAAACUAGAGGUUGGUAAGGGAAAACGGAAUUUCGGGUGUAGCGGUGAAAUGCGUAGAUAUCCGAAAGAACACCGGUGGAGAAGUCGGUUUUCUGUACCAAACCUGACGCUGAGGCGCGAAAGCUAGGGGAGCAAACAGGAUUAGAUACCCUGGUAGUCCUAGCCUUAAACGAUGUAUACUAGAAGUAGGAGGGCUCAACCCUUUCUGUUUCGGAGCUAACGCGUUAAGUAUACCGCCUGGGGAGUACGCUCGCAAGGGUGAAACUCAAAAGAAUUGACGGGGGCCCGCACAAGCAGUGGAGCAUGUGGUUUAAUUCGAUCCACGCGAAGAACCUUACCUGGGCUCGAAAUGUAGAGGACAAUACAAGAGAUUGUACUCCCGUAAGGGUCUCUAUAUAGGUGCUGCAUGGCUGUCGUCAGCUCGUGCCGUAGGUGUUUGGUUAAGUCCAGCAACGAGCGCAACCCUUAUCGUUAGUUGCCACGCGUAAUGGCGGGAACUCUAGCGAGACUGCCGAGGUUAACUCGGAGGAAGGUGAGGAUGACGUCAAGUCCGCAUGGCCUUUAUGUCCAGGGCUACACACGUGCUACAAUGGUCGAUACAGAAGGAUGCCAAACCGCGAGGUGGAGCAAAUCCUAUAAAAUCGAUCUCAGUUCGGAUUGCAGUCUGCAACUCGGCUGCAUGAAGUUGGAAUUGCUAGUAAUGGCGUGUCAGCAAUAACGCCGUGAAUACGUUCCCGGGCCUUGUACACACCGCCCGUCACACCAUGGGAGCUGUUUAUACCCGAAGUCACUGACUCAACCGUAAGGGGAGAGGUGCCUAAGGUAUGGAUGGUGACUGGGGUGAAGUCGUAACAAGGUA